rnacentral:rRNA from 1 species
AACGAACGCUGGCGGCAGGCCUAACACAUGCAAGUCGAACGCUCCAGCAAUGGAGAGUGGCAGACGGGUGAGUAACGCGUGGGAACCUUCCCUAUGGUUCGGAAUAGCUCAGGGAAACUUGAGGUAAUACCGGAUAAGCCCUUCGGGGAAGGAUUAUCGCCAUUGGAUGGGCCCGCGUAGGAUUAGCUAGUUGGUGAGGUAACGGCUCACCAAGGCGACGAUCCUUAGCUGGUCUGAGAGGAUGAUCAGCCACACUGGGACCGAGACACGGCCCAGACUCCUACGGGAGGCAGCAGUGGGGAAUAUUGGACAAUGGGCGCAAGCCUGAUCCAGCCAUGCCGCGUGAGUGACGAAGGCCUUAGGGUUGUAAAGCUCUUUUGGCGGGGAAGAUAAUGACGGUACCCGCAGAAUAAGCUCCGGCUAACUUCGUGCCAGCCGCCGCCGUAAC